rnacentral:sRNA from 1 species
CCUCCGGGGGCAAGAGGUUCGACCCGAGCGAAGCGAGAGAACGUUGCGUCAGCAACGGCCCGCAGGGCGAGCCANCGCAGUGGCGAGUCAUCCUCUAUCACCGACCA